UACAGAGGGUGCGAGCGUUAAUCGGAAUUACUGGGCGUAAAGCGCGCGUAGGCGGCUUGUUGAGUCGGAUGUGAAAGCCCCGGGCUCAACCUGGGAAUUGCAUUCGAGACUGCAUAGCUAGGGUGCGGAAGAGGGAAGCGGAAUUUCCGGUGUAGCGGUGAAAUGCGUAGAUAUCGGAAGGAACACCAGUGGCGAAAGCGGCUUCCUGGUCCAGCACCGACGUUCAGGCACGAAAGCGUGGGGAGCAAACAGG
rnacentral:rRNA from 1 species